GCCCAGAUAGCUCAGUUGGUAGAGCAGAGGAUUGAAAAUCCUCGUGUCGGUGGUUCGAUUCCACCUCUGGGCACCA
rnacentral:tRNA from 2 species